CCUACGGGAGGCAGCAGUGGGGGAUAUUGCACAAUGGGGGGAACCCUGAUGCAGCGACGCCGCGUGGGUGAAGGAGUAUUUCGGUAUGUAAAGCCCUAUCGGCAGGGAAGAAAUUGGACGGUACCUGACUAAGAAGCCCCGGCUAACUACGUGCCAGCAGCCGCGGUAAUACGUAGGGGGCAAGCGUUAUCCGGAUUCACUGGGUGUAAAGGGAGCGUAGACGGCCAUGCAAGCCAGGGGGGAAAGCCCGGGGCCCAACCCCGGGACUGCCCUUGGAACUGCAUGGCUGGAGUGCGGGAGGGGCAGGCGGAAUUCCUGGUGAAGCGGUGAAAUGCGUAGAUAUCAGGAGGAACACCGGCGGCGAAGGCGGCCUGCUGGACCGCGACUGACGUUGAGGCUCGAAAGCGUGGGGAGCGAACAGGAUUAGAUACCCUGGUAGUC
rnacentral:rRNA from 1 species